rnacentral:rRNA from 1 species
UAGCCGUAAACGAUACUCGCUAGGUGUCGGCCACGGUGCGACCGUUGUCGGUGCCGUAGGUAAGCCGUGAAGCGAGCCACCUGGGAAGUACGGCCGCAAGGCUGAAACUUAAAGGAAUUGGCGGGGGAGGCACCACAACGGGUGGAGCUUGCGGUUUAAUUUGGACUCAACGCCGGAAACUACAUCGGGAGCGACAGCAGUAUGAUUGCCAGGUUGAUGACCUUGCUUGACAAGCUGAGAGGAGGUGCAUGGCGUAGUCGUGU